rnacentral:rRNA from 1 species
CCUACGGGUGGCAGCAGUGAGGAAUAUUGGUCAAUGGGCGCGAGCCUGAACCAGCCAAGUAGCGUGAAGGAUGACUGCCCUACGGGUUGUAAACUUCUUUUAUAAAGGAAUAAAGUGAGGCACGUGUGCCUUUUCGUAGGUACUUUAUGAAUAAGGAUCGGCUAACUCCGUGCCAGCAGCCGCGGUAAUACGGAGGAUCCGAGCGUUAUCCGGAUUUAUUGGGUUUAAAGGGAUGGUAGAUGGGUUGUUAAGUAAGUUGUGAAAGUUUGCGGUGCAAACGGCAAAUAGCAAUUGAUACUGGCAGUCUUGAGUACAGUUGAGGUAGGCGGAAUUCGCGGUGUAGCGGUGAAAUGCUUAGAUAUCACGAAGAACUCCGAUUGCGAAGGCAGCUUACUAACCUGCCACUGACAUUGAUGCUCGAAAGUGUGGGUAUCAAACAGGAUUAGAUACCCCUGUAGGC